UCGAGAAUCUUCCGCAAUGGACGAAAGUCUGACGGAGCGACGCCGCGUGAUGGAUGAAGUCCCUCUGGGACGUAAACAUCUUUUAUGAGGGGGAAAGUUUAUUGAUAGUACCUCACGAAUAAGGGGUUGCUAAACUCGUGCCAGCAGCAGCGGUAAUACGAGUGCCCCGAGCGUUAUCCGGAAUCAUUGGGCGUAAAGGGUGUGUAGGUGGCAUUGUUAGUCACACGUUAAACCCUGGGGCUUAACCCCAGAUCUGCGUGUGAUACGGCAAAGCUAGAGGAUGGCAGGGAUGUAUGGAACUCAUGGAGUAGGGGUGAAAUCCGUUGAUAUCAUGGGGAACACCGAAAGCGAAGGCAGUACAUUGGGCCACUCCUGACACUGAAACACGAAAGCGUGGGUAGCGAAUGGGAUUAGAUACCCAUGUAGUCCCUGAGCGGGCUGGCAAGGCGCAU
rnacentral:rRNA from 1 species